rnacentral:rRNA from 1 species
GGAUGCGAUCAUACCCGCUCUAACGCACCGAA